CAGUCAGAGGCGAUGAAAGGCGUAAUAACUUGCGAUAAGCCCAGAUUAGGUAGUAAUAACCUUUUGAGUCUGGGAUUCCUGAAUGGGGAAACCCACUUACAUAAGUAAGUAUCCUGUUGUGAAUACAUAGCAACAGGAGGCAAACCGGGGGAACUGAAACAUCUAAGUACCCCGAGGAAGAGAAAUCAACCGAGAUUCCGAAAG
rnacentral:rRNA from 1 species